rnacentral:rRNA from 1 species
AUUGAACGCUGGCGGCAGGCCUAACACAUGCAAGUAGAACUAGUGUCGGACUGGUGAGUAUUGUCUGGGAAACUGCCUGAUGGAGGGGGAUAACUACUGGAAACGGUAGCUAAUACCACAUACCAUCAGAUGUGCCCAGAUUGGAUUAGCGAGUUGGUGGGGUAACGGCUCAACAAGGCGACGAUCCCUAGCUGGUCUGAGAGGCUGACCAGCCGCCCUGGGCAUGGUACACGGUCCAGACUCCUACGGGAGGCAGAAGUGGGGAAUAGUGCACAAUGGGCGCUAGCCUGAUGCAGCCAUGGCGCGUGUAUGACGAAGUCCUUCGGGUUGUAAAGUACUUUCAGCGGGGAGGCGUUACCGGCAGAAGAAGCACGGGCUAACUCCGUGCCAGCAGCCGCGGUAAUUC